GAUAAACGCUGGCGGCAGGCUUAACACAUGCAAGUCGAGGGGCAACGAGAGUAGCAAUACUUGUCGGCGACCGGCAGACGGGUGAGUAACGCGUAUGCAAUCCGGCUCGUACAGGGGGAUAACCCGGAGAAAUUCGGACUAAUACCGCGUAAUGAUGUUGAAUCGCAUGGUUUGACAUUUAAAGAAGUAAUUCGGUACGAGAUGAGCAUGCGUAUCAUUAGCCAGUCGGUGAGGUAACGGCUCACCGAGGCAACGAUGAUUAGGGGUUCCGAGAGGAUUUACCCCCACACCGGGACUGAGACACGGCCCGGACUCCUACGGGAGGCAGCAGUGAGGAAUAUUGGUCAAUGGGCGAGAGCCUGAACCAGCCAUGCCGCGUGAAGGACACGGCCCUACGGGUCUUCAACUUCUUUUGUCGGAGAGCAAUAAGCGCCACGUGUGGCGUGAUGAGAGUAUUCGACGAAUCAGCACCGGCUAACUCCGUGCCAGCCGCCGCGGUAA
rnacentral:rRNA from 1 species